CCCUUAGAUGUUCUGGGCUGCACGCGCGCUACACUGACAUGUCCAGCGAGCUCCCAACCUGCUCGGCAAAGAAUGGGUACCCUUUUUAACGCAUGUCGUGAUGGGGAUAGAUUAUUGCAAUUGUUGAUCUACAACGAGGAAUGCCUAGUAAACGCAAGUCAUCAGCUUGCAUUGAUUACGUCCCUGCCCUUUGUACACACCGCCCGUCGCUCCUACCGAUUGAAUGAUCCGAUGAAUAUCAUGGAUUGAGGAUGCAAGCAGGUUCGCCUGUCUUCAUCUUCGAGAAGUGAAGUAAAUCUUAUCAUUUAGAGGAGGGAGAAGUCGUAACA
rnacentral:rRNA from 1 species